CUAUCUUGCUAGUAGACCCUCUCCAUUAACUCUCUCUCUUUCUGAUUGAGUGUAAGCUGCUAUAUGAAGGGAUCCACAAGACGAAUAAUUAAGGGGGACCUCUGAUCAACAGCCAGCAAGGAACUGAAUCCCUCAGACCCACAACUCACAAGAAACUGAAGCUGAAGCAGAUUCUUCCUCAGUCAAGCUUCAGAAAGAAAUCAUGAGUGACCACUCAGCUCAAGGCUUCUCUGCUGAUGCCAUCCAGUGAGUUUCCUGGCAGCCAUCUUUUUAUGAAAGAAUAGAGGUCAGCCUGACUGCACUUCCAGAUGAUUAGAGCUCAAAUUUUCCUUUGAAAGAUGUUAAACUGCCUCAAUUUCCCCAAAUUGACCUCUCGCCAGAAGGUUAAGAGGAGAAUGGCCAAAGAAGCACAUCGUCUGCUGCUGAUUUCUCUGUGGCUAUGCAGAUACAC
rnacentral:lncRNA from 1 species